UACGUAGGGGGCAAGCGUUGUCCGGAUUUACUGGGCGUAAAGCGUGCGCAGGCGGUUUUGUAAGUCAGAUGUGAAAUCCCCGGGCUUAACCUGGGAACUGCGUUUGAAACUACAAGGCUAGAGUGUGGCAGAGGAAAGCGGAAUUCCCGGUGUAGCGGUGAAAUGCGUAGAUAUCCGGAGGAACACCGGUGGCGAAGGCGGCUUCCUGGACCGACACUGACGCUGAGGCGCGAAAGCUAGGGGAGCAAACGGG
rnacentral:rRNA from 1 species